rnacentral:sRNA from 1 species
CAAGUACUAACCAGGCCUGACCCUGCUUAGCUUCCAAGAUCAAAUGAGAUUGGGUGUGAUCAGAGUGGUAUGGCCUUAGA